GCUUUUAAAAGGCAAACCAUUCGAAAGAGUGGGACGCAAAGUGAACGAUCUAAAGGUAUAGACAACCAAAGAUGGCCGCGCUGCAAAG
rnacentral:ncRNA from 1 species